UUCCGUAGGGUGAACCUGCGGAAGGAUCAUUACCUAGAGUUUGUGGGCUUUGCCCGCUACCUCUUACCCAUGUCUUUUGAGUACUUACGUUUCCUCGGCGGGUCCGCCCGCCGAUUGGACAAAAUCAAACCCUUUGCAGUUGCAAUCAGCGUCUGAAAAACAUAAUAGUUACAACUUUCAACAACGGAUCUCUUGGUUCUGGCAUCGAUGAAGAACGCAGCGAAAUGCGAUAAGUAGUGUGAAUUGCAGAAUUCAGUGAAUCAUCGAAUCUUUGAACGCACAUUGCGCCCCUUGGUAUUCCAUGGGGCAUGCCUGUUCGAGCGUCAUUUGUACCUUCAAGCUUUGCUUGGUGUUGGGUGUUUGUCUCGCCUCUGCGUGUAGACUCGCCUUAAAACAAUUGGCAGCCGGCGUAUUGAUUUCGGAGCGCAGUACAUCUCGCGCUUUGCACUCAUAACGACGACGUCCAAAAGUACAUUUUUACACUCUUGACCUCGGAUCAGGUAGGGAUACCCGCUGAACUUAAGCAUAUCAAUAAGGCGGA
rnacentral:rRNA from 1 species